UGAGUAACACGUGGGUAACCUGCCUGUAAGACUGGGAUAACUCCGGGAAACCGGGGCUAAUACCGGAUAACUCAUUUCCUCGCAUGAGGAAAUGUUGAAAGAUGGCUUCUUGCUAUCCCUUACAAAUGGACCCGCGGCGCAUUACCUGGUUGGGGAGGUAACGGCUCACCAGGGCAACAAUGCGUACCCAACCUGAAAGGGGGAUCGGCCACCCUGGGACGGAAACACGGCCCAAACCCCUACGGAAGGCAGCAGUAGGGAAUCUUCCGCAAUGAACAAAAGUCUGACGGACCAACGCCGCGUGAGUGAUGAAGGUUUUCGAAUCGUAAAGCUCUGUGGUUAGGGAAAAACAAGUGCCGUUCAAAUAGGGCGGCACCUUGACGGUACCUAACCAAAAAGCCACGGUUAACUACUUGCCACCACCCGCGGUAUUACUUAGGUGGCAAGCGUUGUCCGGAAUUAUUGGGCGUAAAGCGCGCCCAGGUGGUUUCUUAAGUCUGAUUUGAAAGC
rnacentral:rRNA from 1 species